GAUGAACGCUAGCGGCAGGCCUAAUACAUGCAAGUCGAACGGUGUCUUCGGACAUAGUGGCGCACGGGUGCGUAACACGUAUGCAACCUACCUUACAUUGGGGGAUAGCCUUUCGAAAGGGAGAUUAAUACCGCAUAAGACAGUAGCUGGGCAUCCAGCAGCUGUUAAAGAUUUAUCGAUGUAAGCUGGGCAUGCGUCCAAUUAGCUAGUUGGUGAGGUAACGGCUCACCAAGGCAAUGAUUGGUAGGGGAACUGAGAGGUCAAUCCCCCACCCAGGACCUGAGUUACGGGCCAGACUCCAACGUGAGGCAGCAGUAGCGAAUAUUGGACACUGGACGCAAGUCUGACCCAGCCAUGCCGCAUUCAGGAUGAAGGCGUUAUGCGUUGUAAACUGCUUUUAUACAGGAAGAAACGACUCUUGCGAGAGGCAUUGACGGUACUGUAUGAAUAAGCACCGGCUAACUCCGUGCCAGCAGCCGCCGUAACAC
rnacentral:rRNA from 1 species